rnacentral:rRNA from 1 species
UACGUAGGUGGCAAGCGUUGUCCGAAUUUACUGGGCGUAAAGGAUGCGUAGGCGGACAUUUAAGUCAGAUGUGAAAUACCCGAGCUUAACUUGGGUGCUGCAUUUGAAACUGGGUGUCUAGAGUGCAGGAGAGGUAAGUGGAAUUCCUAGUGUAGCGGUGAAAUGCGUAGAGAUUAGGAAGAACACCAGUGGCGAAGGCGACUUACUGGACUGUAACUGACGCUGAGGCAUGAAAGCGUGGGGAGCAAACAGG